rnacentral:lncRNA from 1 species
CAAAAGAAGCUUGGGAGUAAACCUCAAACACCUUGAAUAGAGUGUUACCUCUUACAUGCCAUAUGAACCAAUCAUCAAUAUGGAGUGUGUUGUGGACAAUAUGUCAUCAAUAUGGAGUGAGUAUGUAGACCUGUUGUCUACCUCUUGAAGCAGGACGUACGGACAUCUGACCAAGUCGCCCUCUCCUGUUCCUUUCUGCAAAAUGACCAGGUGUGACUGUGCCGGUGUUGCUACAACUUGAAGGUUUAUCAUCGUGCAGCUUACCGGUGCUGGCGUGAAAUCGUACCGCUUUGAUGCACUCGCAGCUGAUUUCUAGAUCAGUGGCUGAUCCUGUGAAAACGUACGGUCCCCUGACAGAGGUCAGCUGCAGAGCAGAAAUGCCAUGUUCCUGAUCAUAUGGAAAAUGGAAAGAGGAGCUGGGAAUGGGACUUGGAUCUCCAGCAUGGACACUGCUUUGUGGAUGGGUUAUCACAAAAGACUGAGGAAAACACAAAUGCUUCAGCCCACCUCCUGUCCAGGGUUCCCAGAGCGCUUCAAAGCCCCAGGUGAGACAACCUGCCAUUGUCUCUGCAUCUUCCUACUAGCUUUCUAUGGCACCCAAGCUUGGUGUUCUCUAAUAACAAGUCAUCUAAAUGUCUCAUUGAUCUCUUGAGCUGGGAGGCUACAAAGGGCCGUGGGACUUUCUAUGGAGAGAGGACUCAGCUGCAGAGAGACAUGGAGUCCAUAUUGGUGCUGAGAACAGAACUUCACUCUGUCCUAGUCUUAUGCCUUAGCUCCAUGUUUGACUUGCUUUCCAAAAGUCUGUCUGGGAUGUUUUGAAAGGUAGGAGCAGCGUGUCCAGCACUAGAAUAUGCCUACAGGAUGCUUUGGGGUACUUUGAGUAGGGGUGUCCAGCUUUAUUGGGUGAUGGGUCUUUCCACCAUGAAACACAAGUUGCUGGAGCUCAUCUCGAAAUAAAUGCUUGAACGUCAGCUCAGUGCCUCUUCAAGCCAGGCCAAGCUGCUUGCAAGUCUGUUUUGGAAGGGUUUACUGGACACUCCCCUCAGUGUGCUGGAAAAUCAGCCCUGCCGGUAACAGGUACUGUCCAGACCCAUUACACUGUGUUUAUGGGGUUCAGUGUGGAGGGGUGGAUCCAGGAUGUGCUUGCCAGGCUGUUUAUGGCUGUGGGGGAGUGUGCCCUACCUAGGUGUGUUCCCCACCUCUGCCAUUUGUCCUUUUUCUCUAUCCUGCCGUCCCCGAAGCAGCCCGGAUUGGUUAUAGCCCACAUGUUAUAGUGGCCAACCUGCAAAGAGAGAGCCAGAAAAAGUUAAUGUGGAGUUCUGGUCUACUCCCAGGAUGCAUUUGGGCUGCAGCCCAUAAUGAUAUGUAUAAUUGCGAAGGCCUGCCAAAAAAAGCAGGCUGGAUUUAAUUGAGUCAACACACUGCUAUUAAUAAUAAAAUGGCAGAGACUUUGCUAUUAAUCACUUGUGCUGGCUUUAUCACAGGCAGUCUCGGCUAUCUGGCUACCAAACAAGACCUUUAAAAAAAAUGGUGCAGUGGAAAACUUACUAGUGGGAAUACACCUGCUAACAAAACAGACCUUGUAAACAAAAUGUUCCUUGCAGAAGGAGGUACUUUCUGAAGGGACGGGCUCUUCGGGAGGCAAAUGGGGAGUAUCUCAAGGUAUAGGAGCAGGUAUAGGAACAGAUCAGAUGGAGGAUGCACUUGGCAAAUGGUGUAUCUUUGGAAAAGGUUAUGCUUGAUAAAGGACUUUGUUUGGGGUGGGAACUCAGGGAGAAAUGAAAUCUCCAAAGAGAGAAAUGUAAUUGCUGCAGGAAUAUAAAACAGCCCAGGGAGGAAUGCAUCUGUUACUAGGAAAUGGCAAACACUGUAUCCGCUGAGGUACUGAACAAAAAGGGAAAUGCAAAAUAAAUAACAUGCCUGACACCUAAAUUGCAGCCCUGCCUGUGGAGGGCUGGAUAAACCGUGGUGUGUUGUGGUGGCUGGCUGGACAUGGAGCUCUGCAGCCCAGAGUGCACUCUGCCAGCACUGCACGCAGCAGUGUUGGGGCAGGAGGGUCUGGUCUGCCACUGAGGCCCAGAAAUGCCCUCCUUCUGGGACUUGCCUUGGCCAUGCACUGGGGAGGAGGAAGGACUUGGAUGGGGCUCCAGCCCUUUCCAUGCGUGCAUCGCCUGCUCGUGUUCCCCGUGGCCCUUGACGGGCUGCACCCCGGUGCCUGGGAGCAAGCCAUGGGCUGGCACCGCUUCCUCGCGGCUGUGCAGUAAGAGCACGCUGCAGUUUUAAAAGCCCUCCCCCAGCUGAGGUUUUUAUUGUAGCAAACGUGGCAGUGGCAUUCUUUGCUUUUGCUUCUGAGUAGAGCUGCUUGCCAUGAUUGUGUCUGGGAAGGGACCAUGAAGCAAAAGGGUCUAAAAUGCAGGAGGAGGGGAAGGGGUUCGAAAAUGGUGCAUCUGAACAGGGAUGUGAUGUGUUUAUAGGCAGAGCCAAAGAAUGGAGAGCAGGU